GCAGAGAGAGGACAGCGCAGGUGUGACCACCUCUGAAGCCUUGAAUUUCCAGUCUACUUAUCGUAGGCGACACUAGUCUGUUGCUGGGACUUUUCUUCGGGAUAACCAGCAGCCACAGUACUGAUGUAGUGUGGUUCACAGAUCAAACACUAGUGGCCUGAGAAGUUCACGACCCCAACUCUCACCGCCCUUUGUGGCAUUAGCCCACGGGCAACGUCCGGUUCGUGUAAUGUGGUUGUGGGAGCUGGGAGCUGCGGGUCACCAUACGUGGUCCGACAAUGAUGGUUAUAGGGCGUGUCUUCGGCAGCUUUGGGGUGUCUGUGGUUUUAUUCACAGCUCUCAUUGUCAGUGCUGGGAUCCUGCCUGGUUUCAAAGGAAGUCUCGAAUGAACUCGCUUAGGUCUUUUGUAGGCUAAGAAUAGAGUCAUUUAAGCAAAACCUCUGGUCCCUAACUGCAUACACAACCUGACAGUUGCAUGGAAGGGUUGGAGCUCUCAGAAUGGAGAACGGUAAUAGGUAUUCCCGAACCCUGUGCUUGAAUGGUGAAUUGGGUGUGAAUCUAGGUUAAAAUAUGACCGGCCCCAUCUGGAGACAGGUUGAGAGUCAAGUGUUCCGUAGGUGAACCUGCGGAAGGAUCAUUACAGAGUUGGGGUCUUUCAGGCCCAACCUCCCAACCCUAUGUGUACCUACCUUUGUUGCUUUGGCGAGCCCGUGGGGUAAACCACCGGCGGCGACGUGCCGCCGAGCGUCCGUCAAAGACCCAUCAAACCCCGUUAGCCGUGCAGUCUGAGUACCGGUAUAAUAUUUAAAACUUUCAACAACGGAUCUCUUGGUUCUGGCAUCGAUGAAGAACGCAGCGAAAUGCGAUAAGUAAUGUGAAUUGCAGAAUUCAGUGAAUCAUCGAAUCUUUGAACGCACAUUGCGCCCUUUGGUAUUCCGAGGGGCAUGCCUGUUCGAGCGUCAUUACACCACUCAAGCUCGGCUUGGUUUUGGGCCCACGUCCCCCGUAGACGGGCCUGGAAAUCAGUGGCCAUCCGGCCCCGGCUUCAAGCAGUAUUAGUUUACCUUUCGCUUUGGAAGUCCAGGCUGGGUCGGCCAGACAACCCCCGAUUUUUUCCAACAGUGGACCUCGGAUCAGGUAGGGAUACCCGCUGAACUUAAGCAUAUCAAUAAGCGGAGGAAAAGAAACCAACAGGGAUUGCCUCAGUAACGGCGAGUGAAGCGGCAACAGCUCAAAUUUGAAAUCUGGCUCUUUCGGAGUCCGAGUUGUAAUUUGUAGAGGAUGCUUCGGGUACGGCUCCGGUCUAAGUCCCUUGGAACAGGGCGUCAUAGAGGGUGAGAAUCCCGUACGUGACCGGCGACCACGCCCAUGUGAAGCUCCUUCGACGAGUCGAGUUGUUUGGGAAUGCAGCUCAAAACGGGUGGUAAAUUUCAUCUAAAGCUAAAUAUUGGCCAGAGACCGAUAGCGCACAAGUAGAGUGAUCGAAAGAUGAAAAGCACUUUGGAAAGAGAGUUAAACAGUACGUGAAAUUGUUGAAAGGGAAGCGCUUGCAACCAGACUUGCCCGUGGGUGAUCAGCCGGUAUUUUUACCGGUGCACUCGCCCGUGGUCAGGCCAGCAUCGGUUUGGGCGGCUGGAUAAAGACCCCCGGAACGUAGCUCCUCUCGGGGAGUGUUAUAGCCGGGGGUGCAAUGCGGCCCGCCCGGACCGAGGACCGCGCU
rnacentral:sRNA from 1 species